AUUGAACGCUGGCGGCAGGCUUAACACAUGCAAGUCGAGCGGAGUGAUGGUGCUUGCACUAUUACUUAGCGGCGGACGGGUGAGUAAUGCUUAGGAAUCUGCCUAUUAGUGGGGGACAACAUUUCGAAAGGGAUGCUAAUACAGCAAACGUGCUACGGGAUCAAGCAGGGGAUCACGUGUUCCCUUUCGCUAAUAGAUGAGCGCACGUCGGAUUAGAUAGUUGGUGGGGUAAAGGCAUACCAAGGCGACGAUCUGUAGCGGGUGUGAGAGGAUGGCCCGCCACACUGGGACGGAGCCACGGCCCAGACUACUACGGGAGGCAGCAGUGGGGAAUAUUGGACAAUGGGGGGAACCCUGAUCCAGCCAUGCCGCGUGUGUGAAGAAGGCCUUAUGGUUGUAAAGCACUUUAAGCGAGGAGGAGGCGCUUUUGGUUAAUACCCAAGAUGAGUGGACGUUACUCGCAGAAUAAGCACCGGCUAACUCUGUGCCAGCCGCCGCGGUAAAAC
rnacentral:rRNA from 1 species